GCAACAGUAGCUCAUUUGGCGCUGGAUGUCUCCAGGGUUCCUGCUGUGGUCACCGCCGCCGCCAUUUGAGUGGCAGGCAACCGGUGUUUCUGCGCCCCUCCCUUCUCGCUCCGCCUCCUCCUCUUCUCGCCCCUCUUUCCCCCUCCUCCUGUCCUUCCUUCUUCUCUUCCACCCGCUGCUCCUCCUCCUUCUCUGAGCUCCGGACGUCCUGCAGCGGUCUGGGUAAGCCACUCCGCGCCUCCCCGCUUCAGAGUUGAUUCUUCAAUUUUAUGGAUAAAGACAACUCUCUUCAAGAAAAAAGCAUGUGGCAUAUGAGGAGGUCAGAGGACACGUUCUGAGAAUCAUUUAUCUCCUACUAUUUAGGUGCUGGUACUGAAAUCCAGGUGGACAGACUUGGUGGUA